rnacentral:rRNA from 1 species
UACAGAGGUCUCAAGCGUUGUUCGGAUUCAUUGGGCGUAAAGGGCGCGUAGGCGGCUCGGCACGUCCGUUGUGAAAUCGCCCGGCUCAACUGGGCGGGGUCAGCGGAUACGGCCGAGCUUGAGCAAGCUAGGGGGCAAUGGAAUUCCCGGUGUAGUGGUGGAAUGCGUAGAUAUCGGGAGGAACACCAGUGGCGAAGGCGGUUGCCUGGAGCUUUGCUGACGCUGAGGCGCGAAAGCGUGGGGAGCGAGUCCGG